AUUGAACGCUGGCGGCAGGCUUAACACAUGCAAGUCGAGCGGAGAUGAGGUGCUUGCACCUUAUCUUAGCGGCGGACGGGUGAGUAAUGCUUAGGAAUCUGCCUAUUAGUGGGGGACAACAUUCCGAAAGGAAUGCUAAUACCGCAUACGUCCUACGGGAGAAAGCAGGGGAUCUUCGGGCCUUGCGCUAAUAGAUGAGCCUAAGUCGGAUUAGCUAGUUGGUGGGGUAAGGGCCUACCAAGGCGACGAUCUGUAGCGGGUCUGAGAGGAUGAUCCGCCACACUGGGACUGAGACACGGCCCAGACUCCUACGGGAGGCAGCAGUGGGGAAUAUUGGACAAUGGGGGGAACCCUGAUCGAGCCAUGCCGCGUGUGUGAAGAAGGCCUUAUGGUUGUAAAGCACUUUAAGCGAGGAGGAGGCUACUGAGACUAAUACUCUUGGAUAGUGGACGUUACUCGCAGAAUAAGCACCGGCUAACUCUGUGCCAGCCGCCGCCGUAA
rnacentral:rRNA from 1 species